rnacentral:lncRNA from 1 species
CAGGAUUUCCCCACUGGGUUACUCCAUCUGGUCUCUGUGUGUAUGUCCAGCAACUCCCACUGCAUGAGCCACCCUUCAGUGUUCAUCUAAAACACCAAUCUGAUCAUACUUCUCAUCAGCUUAGAUCAUUUCAAGUUUUCCUAGGGGCAGAGCAUAACAUCUGAGUUAACCUGAGCUAACAUCUGUGCCAAUUUUCCUCUGUUUUGUAUGUGAGUCACCACCACAGCAUGGCCUGCAACAAAUUGCGUAGGUCUGCGCCCAGGGACCAAAGCCAGACCACCGAAGCAGAGUGCACCAAACUUAACUACAAGGCCAUGGGGCCAGCCCCAAGAAUAAAAACAAGGCAAAAGCAAGAGGAAGUAUACAGCUCAGGGAACACCCAGGGCCUUGGAUCCUUGCUCAUCUGAGUUCAGGCGCUGGUUUAGCUGCCUCACAAUGGGUUGGCAGUUGAAGCUGCCAACAUGGUCUGUGGAUGUGGAGAAACAGGACAGGGCACUGAAGGGCUUCAGUCGUCUUGAGCUGAUCUUAGCACAGCAAACAUUUACCAAUGAAGAAAUUAAAGGGGAAGGUUAUUCUAUUUACGAAAACACCCUUCAAGCAGCCUCAAGCACUUAGAAGAAUCAUUUAAUCAUAACAAUAGAUAUUCUGGUUAUUAAUACAUAUUUUACAUUAAUACUACAGUUGCCAUAAUUUGGGGUGCUUUGCCAGCCUGUCCCUCUUUAUAUGGAACUUCCCU